rnacentral:lncRNA from 1 species
CUCCUCAGCUCGUCCAGAGUCUGCGGGCAGCGCACAUCCAGGAAUGCCUGUGACUCCAGCCUCUCCCAGCACCCACUUCUGAGCAGCCCCUGGAACUCCCGUUCAGUCAUCAGAGUGUAGAGUUGCUGGCAUCCUCCUUCAGGUUCCGUUUGGGGCACGGAGCACUGCGAAGAUCGCCCCAGCACCUUCCGUGGAGAGUGGG